UCAGCAUUUAAAAAAUAUUUUAUAAGCUCAUUCAUCUUCAAUUUGACAUGUAUUUUUGAGUACGAGCUUUAUUCAAAGAACCACAUUGGAAACAAAUACAAAGAUCUCUAUAUCCCAUCUUCACCAAUUUUCUGGACCUGAACUUAGAAAAGGGCAUUUCUGGUCUACCAUCUCCCUGCACACACAGGUGAAUUACAGUAUUAUUCAGCUUUGAUUAUGUAAUUUUCAAGUUUUCUGUAUACGUUAACAAACUUUAUAUUUUCUAAAUGUUUUUAAACUCAAUUUUCUUUAAAUAACCAAGUGUUGAAAACUUUACA
rnacentral:lncRNA from 1 species